rnacentral:rRNA from 1 species
UACGAAGGGUGCUAGCGUUGUUCGGAAUUACUGGGCGUAAAGGGCGUGUAGGCGGACGUAUCAGUCAGGGGUGAAAUCCCGGGGCUCAACCCCGGAACUGCCUUUGAUACUGUAUGUCUAGAAUCUGUGAGGGGAUAGUGGAAUAUCAAGUGUAGAGGUGAAAUUCGUAGAUAUUUGAUGGAAACACCAGUGGCGAAAGGCGAACUAUCUGGCACAGUAUUGACGCUGAGGCGGCGAAAAGCGUGGGGAGCAAACAGGGAUUAAGAUACCCGCGUAGUCC